rnacentral:rRNA from 1 species
AACGAACGCUGGCGGCAGGCUUAACACAUGCAAGUCGAACGGGUGUAGCAAUACAUCAGUGGCAGACGGGUGAGUAACACGUGGGAACCUUCCUAGGGGUACGGAACAACUCAGGGAAACUUGAGCUAAUACCGGAUAAGCCCGAGAGGGGAAAGAUUUAUCGCCGAAGGAUUGGCCCGCGUCCGAUUAGCUAGUUGGUGAGGUAAUGGCUCACCAAGGCGACGAUCGGUAGCUGGUCUGAGAGGAUGAUCAGCCACACUGGGACUGAGACACGGCCCAGACUCCUACGGGAGGCAG